AGUGAACGCUGGCGGUAGGCCUAACACAUGCAAGUCGAACGGCACCUCAGUAAGAGCUUGCUCUUACGGGUGGCGAGUGGCGGAAGGGUGCUGAAUACAUCGGAAUCUACUUUUUCGUGGGGGCUAACGCAGGGAAAUUUACGCUAAUACCGCAUACGACCUACGGGUGAAAGCAGGGGAUCUUCGGACCUUGCGCGAUUGAAUGAUCGUAAGGCGGAUUAGCUAGUUGGGGGGGUAAAGGCCCACCAAGGCGACGAACCGUAGCUGGACUGAGAGGAUGAUCAGCCAGACUGGGAGGGAGAUACGGCACACGCGCCUACGGGAGGGACCCGUAGGGAAUAUUGGGGAAUGGGCGCAAGCCUGAUCCAGCCAUACCGCGUGGGUGAAGAAGGACUUCGGUUUGUAAAGUCCUUUUGUUCGGAAAGAAAAGCAGCAGGUUAAGACCCCGCAGUUCUGACGGUACCAAAAGAAUAAGCAACGGCUAACUUCGUG
rnacentral:rRNA from 1 species